rnacentral:rRNA from 1 species
UACAGAGGUCCCAAGCGUUGUUCGGAUUUACUGGGCGUAAAGGGCGCGUAGGCGGCGUGACAAGUCACUUGUGAAAUCUCCGGGCUUAACUCGGAACGGUCAAGUGAUACUGUCAUGCUAGAGUACAGAAAGGGCAACUGGAAUUCUCGGUGUAGCGGUGAAAUGCGUAGAUAUCGAGAGGAACACCUGCGGCGAAGGCGGGUUGCUGGGCUGAUACUGACGCCGAGGCGCGAAAGCCAGGGGAGCGAACGGG